rnacentral:rRNA from 1 species
GUGGGGAAUCUUCCGCAAUGGACGAAAGUCUGACGGAGCGACGCCGCGUGAGUGAAGAAGGCCUUCGGGUCGUAAAGCUCUGUCAUCAGGGACGAACGGCCGGUGGAGUGGAAAGCCACCGGAUUGACGGUACCUGAGAAGGAAGCCACGGCUAACUACGUGCCAGCAGCCGCGGUAAUACGUAGGUGGCGAGCGUUGUCCGGAAUUAUUGGGCGUAAAGCGCGCGCAGGUGGGAUCUUAAGUCUGUUCUGAAAGUUCGGAGCUUAACUCCGUGAUGGGAUGGAAACUGGGAUUCUUGAGUAUCGGAGAGGAAAGCGGAAUUCCCCGUGUAGCGGUGAAAUGCGUAGAUAUGGGGAGGAACACCAGUGGCGAAGGCGGCUUCCUGGCACAAUACUGACGCUCAUGUGCGAAAGCUAGGGCAGCGAACGGGAUUAGAAACCCCGGUAGUCC